UACUAUCAUCUUAUAACAGCAAUUUCUGUUUAAAAACAAAAACAGAGCCUGAAGGAAGGAAAUAAAAAGCUGGAGGAAGAAAAAGAAAAACUUGCCAGCGAGAUCACCCUGCAAAAAGAGAAAUGGGACAAGGAAAAGGUUUGGCUUCUUAAAAGUAAUGCUGAAAAACUAGAUUCCCUUUAUACUCAGCACACCUUAACUCUUGUAGAACUUCAGAGGAGUAGACUGAAUCUUGAAAAAGUGCAGAAGAUUGUUGAUUUCCAGAUGGAUUUGCCCUGUGA
rnacentral:lncRNA from 1 species